GAUUCUUCAAUGAUCUUUCAACUUGGUACUCUCCUAAGACAGAAAACGAUGUCUUAUUUUGCAUGAGAAGUAAAGCUGAGCCCGAAGUCCGGAGGUGUAAGUGCUCCGAGGUACUUACAGAACUAAACUGAAAUCUAAACAGAAGCCAAGACUCCUUCCAUCUCAGAAAACCUCCCAUGGUGUCCUGCCUAUCUUGGGCAAAGCCAGCAGACUGGUGUCUUUCUCCCCUUUGACUAGGAAGUGGGUCGAAGGCAGUGUGGGCCUUGAGUGCUCUAGGUAACCAGAGGUGCUCCACUGGGAAGCCAACUGCUGUGUCCACUGCUCCCCUGAACUAUCAGCGCCUGUGAUUAUCUGACCGACAGAAACCACACACAACUGGGUGCAUUAACUUUCAUUAAGAAUUAUAGAUACUUAAUGGUUGCUAGAGUUAGGGGCUCAAGAAUGUAUAGACAGGUAAAUACUACCAGUUAAACUCACUAGUCACCAUGCUGCACCUGGGUAGAAUCAUUUCUGGAUUUCAGUCACUGGUGCCCUAUCUAGGGUAAACACACUGCUUCUUUUUUUUCCACAUAUCCCCAGAAAAAAGUUCACAUGACACCAGCACUAGAUUUACUAUGUGUUUAGUCAAGAUUCCCAUCACCCUUGGCAUCUGCAACCGUUAUCUCCCUCCCCUUCCCCUCGCCUUUCCUUUCAGGCAUCUCAUUCGGUGUGUAUCCUACGGUACAAGGUUUGAGGGCUUUUCUAAAGUUUUUCUUUUUCCAAAAGAAGCAUUAUACAAA